AGAUGUCAUGUGGCCUGCUAUACAAGGCUGCAUGUAGCCGGUGGGUAUGGGCCUUAUUAUGUACUAAAACCUAAGUUAAAAGAAAAUUUGGGACAACCUGAAGUGACACUUCUCCACAGAUGCUAACUCAUCGUUGAUGACAUUGUUAAUACAGGUAGCCUGAUCAGCCAAUUUAUCUUAGGCUUAAACAAGUCACACCAUGUAGUGGAAUGGGUCAUUAGGAUUCGGGCAAUUCUACAG